CCAGAGAUGGAUUGGUGCCUUCGGGAACUUAGAUACAGGUGCUGCAUGGCUGUCGUCAGCUCGUGUCGUGAGAGUGUUGGGUUAAGUCCCGNAACGAGCGCAACCCUUUUCCUUAUUUGCCAGCGGGUCAUGCCGGGAACUUUAAGGAUACUGCCAGUGACAAACUGGAGGAAGGCGGGGACGACGUCAAGUCAUCAUGGCCCUUACGGCCAGGGCUACACACGUGCUACAAUGGUCGGUACAAAGGGUUGCUACCUCGCGAGAGGAUGCUAAUCUCAAAAAGCCGAUCGUAGUCCGGAUCGCAGUCUGCAACUCGACUGCGUGAAGUCGGAAUCGCUAGUAAUCGCGGAUCAGAAUGCCGCGGUGAAUACGUUCCCGGGCCUUGUACACACCGCCCGUCACACCAUGGGAGUUUGUUGCACCAGAAGUAGGUAGUCUAACCGCAAGGAGGACGCUUACCACGGUGUGGCCGAUGACUGGGGUGAAGUCGUAACAAGGUAGGCGUAGAUGA
rnacentral:rRNA from 1 species